rnacentral:misc_RNA from 1 species
GUGAAUCAUCGAAUCUUUGAACGCACAUUGCGCCCCUUGGUAUUCCGAGGGGCAUGCCUGUUCGAGCGUCAUAUUAACCACUCCCGCGUGCGGGGUCUUGGGCAGCGCCUCCGGGCGGGCCUUAAAAUCAGUGGCGGUGCCGUCGGGCUCUACGCGUAGUACAUACUCCUCGCGAUAGGGUCCCGGUGGAUGCUGGCCAACAACCCCCAACUUCUUAAGGUUGACCUCGGAUCAGGUAGGGAUACCCGCUGAACUUAAGCAUAUCAAUAAGCGGAGGA